UUGACUGGUUUGUUCAGAUUUGUCUGGCUCUGCAGUAUAUUCAUGAGAGGAAUAUUCUUCACAGAGAUAUAAAACCACAGAACGUUUUUCUGACUGAGGACGGUUACAUCAAUCUUGGGGAUUUUGGAUGCUCAAAAACAUUGGAAAGAGCUGAUGCGUAUGCAGAAUUAGUAGUGGGUGCAGAGCUGUAUGUCAGUCCAGAAGUUUUGAA